GGGCGGUUGGCGCAGCUGGUAGCGCACUUCGUUUACACCGAAGGGGUCGCCGGUUCGAGCCCGGCACCGCCCACCA
rnacentral:tRNA from 1 species